rnacentral:rRNA from 1 species
GGCGAACGCUGGCGGCGUGCUUAACACAUGCAAGUCGAACGGAAAGGCCCUGCUUUUGUGGGGUGCUCGAGUGGCGAACGGGUGAGUAACACGUGAGUAACCUGCCCUUGACUUUGGGAUAACUUCAGGAAACUGGGGCUAAUACCGGAUAGGAGCUCCUGCUGCAUGGUGGGGGUUGGAAGGUUUCGGCGGUUGGGGAUGGACUCGCGGCUUAUCAGCUUGUUGGUGGGGUAGUGGCUUACCAAGGCUUUGACGGGUAGCCGGCCUGAGAGGGUGACCGGCCACAUUGGGACUGAGAUACGGCCCAGACUCCUACGGGAGGCAGCAGUGGGGAAUAUUGCACAAUGGGCGGAAGCCUGAUGCAGCAACGCCGCGUGCGGGAUGACGGCCUUCGGGUUGUAAACCGCUUUCGCCUGUGACGAAGCGUGAGUGACGGUAAUGGGUAAAGAAGCACCGGCUAACUACGUG